rnacentral:rRNA from 1 species
UACGGAGGGUGCGAGCGUUGUCCGGAAUCACUGGGCGUAAAGGGCGCGUAGGCGGCUGGGGAAGUCGGCGGUGAAAGCCCGGAGCUCAACUCCGGGUCGGCCGUCGAGACUCCUCGGCUCGAGCUCACUAGAGGCAGAUGGAAUUCCGGGUGUAGCGGUGGAAUGCGUAGAGAUCCGGAAGAACACCGGUGGCGAAGGCGGUCUGCUGGGGUGAGGCUGACGCUGAUGCGCGACAGCGUGGGGAGCAAGCAGG